rnacentral:rRNA from 1 species
UCCUACGGGAGGCUGCAGUAGGGAAUCUUGCGCAAUGGGCGAAAGCCUGACGCAGCAACGCCGCGUGCGGGACGAAGGCCUUCGGGUUGUAAACCGCUUUCAGCAGGGACGAAAUUGACGGUACCUGCAGAAGAAGCCCCGGCCAACUACGUGCCAGCAGCCGCGGUAACACGUAGGGGGCGAGCGUUGUCCGGAUUUAUUGGGCGUAAAGAGCUCGUAGGCGGCUCAGUAAGUUGGGUGUGAAACCUCCAGGCUCAACCUGGGGACGCCACCCAAGACUGCUGUGGCUAGAGUCCGGUAGGGGAGCGUGGAAUUCCUGGUGUAGCGGUGAAAUGCGCAGAUAUCAGGAGGAACACCAGCGGCGAAGGCGGCGCUCUGGGCCGGUACUGACGCUGAGGAGUGAAAGCGUGGGGAGCAAACAGGAUUAGAUACCCUUGUAGUC